rnacentral:lncRNA from 1 species
AGUCAUGCUGAUGCAAAAAAGUCAACCAGUACAGUCUCUAAACAAUUCCAGACCUUCUGAUCCAAGACUAGAAUUGGUGGUACUUACUUUCACAGCAACAAUGUUGAGGGAAUCUAGUGACGACUGAGUUGAUUCUGGUGAAAUGUGUGGGACUAAAUAUCCAAGGGGCACACAGAUCCAAAAUACUGAUGCUCCAUGGCAGGAAAAGGAACUCAGAGGAGCAUACUACACCUGCUGUGGAAAAGAUGGGGGAGUCAGUUUCUUCUCUAAGUUUAUUAUGAGUCAAGAGUGNGACCUGGUGGUGUCCCUCCUCCUCCCUAUAAUGCAAGUCUCCCCUGUUUCCUGGGUCCCUCCAUGCCCCCUUUUCCAGGCCUUGCCCUAUCGGUCACCUCCUCUACCUCUUAUAUCUCCAACUUCUCCCUCUCUACUGGACCCUUAUAGGCAACAUUUAACAAUUUGUGCCUCUUUCAUUAAAAAAGAAUAAUCCUCCUCAGACUGGUCUUCAGCUACUAGUCUCCUUCCUCCCUUCUCAGCUAGAUCUCUGAAAUGUUGUGUAUACUCAUUACCACCAUUCUUCCACCUGCCACACAUGCCUCAAUCUCCCCGUUGUGCAUUCUACUCCACAAUAUCACAAAAUUAGCUUUAGUUAAUAUCACCAGUGGCCUUCAUGUUGCUAAGCCUAAUGUAUGCUUUUCAGCUUUCAUCUUUCUUGAUCUCCCAGCAGUGUCCUCACAAUUCUAAGUCUAGAGAAUUGGGUUAUUUACACCUCCUUUUUUCAACUGCUGAUGAACAUACCAUAUAUAGUAGAUUGCAUUGUUGUUCUCAAUUAUUCACCCUUCUUUAUGCCUUUUGUAGUGUGACUUUGCAUUUGCUCUGUGCCGCUGCAAUCACUAUGGGAGAAAAAAUGCCCUGGUUCCAGAAAAAUGAAACAUACAUGAGAAGAGCAUUUCCAGAUGACCCACCGACCCAUAAACAUGAGUGUGAUGGCUAAUAUGCACUGCUGCGUGCCACUGGAUGCAAUCUCAAAAACGACAGAAUGAUCUCUGUUCGUUUCCAAGGCNNNNNNNNNNNNNNNNNNNNNAUCCAAGUCUAUGCCCCGACCAGUAACACUGAAGAAGCUGAAGUUGAAUGAUUCUGUGAAGACCUACAAGACCUUUUAGAAUUAUCACCCAAAAAAGAUGUCCUUUUCAUUAUAGGGGACUGGAAUGCAAUGGUAGGAAGUCAAGAAACACCUGGAGUAGCAGGCAAAUUCAGCCUUGGAAUACGGAAUGAAGCAGAGCAAAGACUAACUGAGUUUUGCCAAGAAAAUGCAUUGGUCAUAGUAAACACCCUCUUCCAACA